UGCGGAAAUUUCAACCAUCUGGUAUUCUUUAACGUGCAAUGACAUCGCACAGCACACUCUACCAUUUAGCCUCCAUCAAAAUGCGACCCGCGCGGCCGGGAUUGAACCCGCGACCUUCGGGUCAGCAGCUGAGCACCAUAACCACUGCUCCACCGUGGUGGACCCUUAAUCGAGGGAAGGGCGCCUAGAUGGAAAAGAAACUUCCCAUGGCUGGCUUUGCGUAAUCAGCACCUCCGAGACUUUCUCACAGCUGCAACAAAUGGCACGUGUUGGGGGAGUGCACCUACGGUAGAGAUGCGCAAGCCAGGGAAGAAUUUUUGACUGCUUUGGCAGUUGAUUUUGAACCAGCGAAGAGCACGGGCAUCGGUGUCACAGAACUCACAUAGGCAGCGAGUGUGGAGUGUCCUGUGCAACGAAUAGAGUUGACUGUCUCGUUGGGCAUCCUCGUUAUCUACUGAAGCUGGCAAGACAGUCGAGCGGCAGGCACCACGUUUAUUCAUCUACGAGUACUGUAAGCUGGCAUGGUUAAAAACACUGUGAAGUAGACACGGACAAGAAUUCACACAGGCAACGCUGGUCCUGUGUGAAUUCUUGUCCGCGUCUCGCGCUGUUUUUAACUAUCCGUACGUACCAACUGGCUCGCAUUCACUUCCUUUUAAGCUGGCAUGGUCUGUGAGGAACCUUUUAUUGAAAUUUUAACAGCAAAACUGUUCGAGCUAUCUACAAAACAGUGCUUGUCGAUCAAAAACAUUGCCUAGCCAUGAUGUUGCCUAGCAUAGCCAUGGCAACCAAGCCAUCUGCGCAUCGCCCACAACCUUCACGAAGCUGUGCACACCUGCCUUGACACUAAGCAUGACCGUUCCUGCGCACUGACUCGUACCACAUUGUGCCAGCAGGAGCCAUGUUGUCAUCAUGUGCUGAGUCUUUGCUUUCGCCAUGGGUAGACGUAAAUAAAUCAACUUCGGAAGAAGAAGCCGCAUAUAAAUAAUGACAACGUGCCGCGAAGUGGGAAUAUGUUCAGACGCCAAGCCAAAGAGGCUGCUACCAAGCUUCGCCAUUAAGCGGAAGAGCCAAGGUGAGCUGCUUGGCGAAGGGAAUACAUGCAAAAACCAUUGCGAGUACAUGCCCGGUCUGCGUGUGGAUGAGAGCUUCCAAAGCAGGGUCCGGCAGAGUACCGCUUCAGUGGAUAGCUGGUUUCGUCGGGAGUUUCUGAGCACGGAAUUUGGGCAUGCCUGUCAUAUCUGCAAUAACCUAGCAAAAACCAUCUAAAAACUUGAGAAUCGACCAGCUUCACUGUCUUUUAAGUGGUUUUUUUACGCCCCUGCGGGGUUUUAGCCAACUUUGCAUUUGAGUUGCACGAGAAGCUCUGCAGUAUGAGCACAGUGUUUCUUCCUCUGCAUUUCUUUUCACGUCAAUCCUCUAUUUUAGUAACCUACCGCGUUGUCUGUAUUUUGUAUCUGUAGUUAUUCAUUCAGUGUGGUUUCUUGUGUGGUUUCUUGUGUCAUUCUUUAUUUCAUUGCACAUAUUUUUGUUUCCUCUUAGUUAACUGUGUAUCUGUUGCCAUUGCCCUCUUUCUAAUUAAAGGGUUGCUCGUUUCUU